rnacentral:rRNA from 1 species
GACGAACGCUGGCGGCGUGCCUAAUACAUGCAAGUAGAACGCACAGUUUAUACCGUAGCUUGCUACACCAUAGACUGUGAGUUGCGAACGGGUGAGUAACGCGUAGGUAACCUGCCUGGUAGCGGGUGAUAACUAUUGGAAACGAUAGCUAAUACCGCAUAAUAUUAAUUAUUGCAUGAUAAUUGAUUGAAAGAUGCAACUGCAUCACUACCAGAUGGACCUGCGUUGUAUUAGCUAGUAGGUGAGGUAACGGCUCACCUAGGCGAAGAUACAUAGCCGACCUGAGAGGGUGGACGGCCACCCUGGGAAUGGGACCAGGCCCAGACUCCUACGGGGAGCAGCCGUAGGGAAUCUUCGGCAAUGGGCGGAAGUCUGACCGAGCAACGCCGCGUGAGGGAAGGAGGUUUUCGGAUCGUAAAGCUCUGUUGUAAGGGAAGAAAGGGAGUGAGAGUGGAAAGUUCACACUGUGACGGUACCUUACCAGAAAGGGACGGCUAACUACGUG